UACAGAGGUCCCAAGCGUUGUUCGGAUUCAUUGGGCGUAAAGGGUGCGUAGGUGGCGCUGUAAGUCGGGUGUGAAAUUUCGGAGCUUAACUCCGAAACUGCAUUCGAUACUGCGGUGCUUGAGGACUGGAGAGGAGACUGGAAUUCAUGGUGUAGCAGUGAAAUGCGUAGAGAUCAUGAGGAAGACCAGUGGCGAAGGCGGGUCUCUGGGACGGUACUGACGCUGAGACGCGAAAGCGUGGGGAGCGAACAGG
rnacentral:rRNA from 1 species